rnacentral:rRNA from 1 species
UACGGAGGGAGCUGGCGUUGUUCGGAAUUACUGGGCGUAAAGCGCACGUAGGCGGCUUUGUAAGUUAGAGGUGAAAGCCCGGGGCUCAACUCCGGAACUGCCUUUAAGACUGCAUCGCUUGAAUCCGGGAGAGGUGAGUGGAAUUCCGAGUGUAGAGGUGAAAUUCGUAGAUAUUCGGAAGAACACCAGUGGCGAAGGCGGCUCACUGGACCGGUAUUGACGCUGAGGUGCGAAAGCGUGGGGAGCAAACAGG